AGUUGGGGAAGUGAGGGCUUUGCGUCAGAUCCGCCCGGCCUGAGCAAACUGGUUGGUCAGGCCGUCUUAUUCGGCCCUGGGAGCGGCUGCUCCUGGAUAGAGGUGAUGAGCAGCAAGGAAUGAGGCUCUGAGGUACCUUCUCUCAUUGCCAGCUCCAGGAAGUGUCCCAACUCCAGGGACACUUGCCUAGGAGAUGCCAAGUGGUACCCCGCCCCACCCCAGACCCUUAGAGACGAGGCUGUUGAGCCGGUCAGCAGUGUGCUGCAGUGACCCACAGAGGAGACAAAAUUCUCCCUCCCCACGUGCAGGAGCUCACAGCAAGAGGCGUCUGUGGCCAGCAGCGAGCGAGCCCUGGCUGGAUUCCCCAGCAGCUGGCCUCGGCCUCCCCAGCUCUGCCGACUGUGUCCUGGCAGCCCCAGCAGCAGCCACAGGCCAGGCUCCACCUAACUUCCUUCCUUCCAGCCCUGCUCUGUCUGCUCUGCCACGCCUCUCCUGCCACAGGGCAAAGGAAGGAAGCCACCUCGGUGGGUUCGUGUCUCACAUGGAAGAGGAAUUUCCACAUGGACAGUCAUGUGAAGGUGUGGCUGAGAGCUGCUUGCCUGCUCGUGAUUAACUAAACCCUCCGACUGAGCGGAGCUUGGUGUUUUGUCAUCUCAAGGCAACUUCUGGACCCUGGACUCACUUGUUGCAGGAGACGCUGCUUGGAAAUUCGUCACACAGGAGGCAAUAUGGCGCUCCCUCUGUUUGUGGCCUGGGAAAGCAGUAGAGG